ACCACGUGACCAUCCACGAGAGCGGUCCAGAGUCGCUGAGAUAAUCAGAACUGCAGAUACCAGAGACUCCGAGAUAACACGGUGUGCAGCUGGAUGAACACAGCAGGUCAAGCAGCAUCAGAGGAGCAGGAAAGCUGACGUUUCGGGCCUAGCUCCUUCGUUGAGACCAAGAUUUGUGCAAUUGAGAUGCCAGCGAUCGUUGCCAAAGCCCUGUUGCCUGUGGAGAAGGUGAUAUUUAACUUUUGUGUGCUGCUGCAGUUCGUAUGAUGAAGGUGCUCCCACAAUGCGGUCAUUUGAGAAGUUACAGAUCGUUCAUCUCCGAUACUGAAGAGCUGAUGGAUAUUACAAGUGGACUUUCAGGUGGGAAGCUCAAUAAUUAUAACACCAAACUGACUGAAUUACUCACUUCUUCAGGAUCUGGAUAUUCACAUUGUGUAUUUCCACAAUUUUACUUCUGCACCAUUAUUCGUCUUUGAAGGAUCGAAAGGUUGAGUUACAGAUCUAUACAAUGCCUGUCCUUCCUCCCUGGCUCUCCCACCUCUCUCUCUUUUGGUAGUUUUGUGCAAACAUUGACUGGAUCCUUUAACUGGAGGAUAUUUAUGAAUUGAAUUUGUUCUAAUGAUAAUCCAGAAUAUUCCCCAAGUAUCGCUCCACAAAUGUCCAGAGAAUUUCUGUUUCACAAUCUGUGUUCGUCUGGUUUCUUAUUCACUGCACUUAGUUGCUGUUUGAAAGUAUAGUUGGACAAACUGGCAGAAAGCUAGCCACCACGAUACAUGAACAUCAACUAGCCACAAAACGACAUGACCCACUAUCACUCGUAUCCUUCCAUACAGACAAGGAAGGACACCACUUUGAUUGGGAUAACACAUCCAUCCUAGGACAAGCCAAACGGAGACACUCACGAGAAUUCCUAGAAGCAUGGCAUUCCAACCGGAACUCCAUCAACAAACACAUUGAUUUGGAGCCAAUCUACCAUCCCCUGAGAAAAAGAACAGGAAGUGACAUCACCAAUGCAGGAAAAGACAUCACCAACCCAAGGCAACCUAACCAGAUAAAUAGAAAGUGGGACAUAACACCAGCGCUUCGUCGGAGGCUCACUGAUGAUGUUACCUAGAAUGGUGACGAAACGUCUGAAAACUAACCUUGCAGCUCAGCGAUCAAACUCACAUCCAGUAUAGUCUGCAGUUGGAGAAUUCGAGCAGUUCCACAUCCAGGUCUGACAGUCACUUUGUUUAUCACAGCCUAAUUUUCUCAGGAUUUUGAACAUUGAAGGAAAAAGCAGCACUCACAUUGGGGAGAAAUGCACACGGUCUGUGUGUCGAAGAGUCUGUAAACAUUCAUCUGAAAUGCCCGCAUACCAGAGUAGUGAUACUGGAGAGAGACUGUGGAAAUAUGCAGAUUGCAGGAAGGAAUUUCUUCAUUCAUCCCAGCUAGAAACUGACCACCAGAGUCACACUGGAGAGAGACCAUUCACCUGCUCUGAUUGUGGAAUGGGAUUCACUCAGUCAUCAAACCUGCUUAAACACCAGAGAGUUCACACUGGAGAGAAACCAUUUACUUGCUCGGAAUGUGGGAAAGCAUUCACUCAGACACUUCAAAUGCUGAUACACCAGUGAAUCCACAUUGGAGAGAGAGUAUUGACCUGUUCUGUGUGUGGAAAAGGUUUUGCCGACUCGAUUCCCUGCUGAUACACCAGCGACUUCACUCUGGGGAGCGACCAUUCAUGAGCUCUGAGUGUGGGAAGGGAUUCACUGUCAUCCAAGCAGAUACCAGCGAUCGUUGCCAAAGCCCUGUUGCCUGUGGAGAAGUUUAACCUUCGUGUCCUGCUGCAGUUUGUAUGAUGAAGGUGCUCCCACAAUGCGGCCAUUUGAGAAGUUACAGAUCAUUCAUCUAGCGAUACUGAAGAGCUAACGGUGAUAUUGCAAGUGGACUUUCAGGUGGGAAUCUCAAUAAUUGUAGCACCAAACUCUGACAGAAUUACUCAAUUCAUCAGGACCUGGAUAUUCGCAUUAUAUUUCCACAAUUUUACUUCUGCACCGUUCUUAGUCUUUCGAGCCCUCUGAAAGACUGAGUUACAGAUCUAUACAAUGCCUGUCCUUCCUCCCUGGCUCUCCCACCUCUCUCUUAUGGUAGGUUUGUGCAAACACUGACUGGAUCCCUUACCUGGAGGAUAUUUAUUUAUGAAUUUGUUCUCAUGAUAAUCCAGCAUAUUCCCCAAGUAUCACUCCACAAAUGUCCAGAGGAUUUCUCAGUUUCACAAUCUGUGUGUGUUCUUCUGGUUCCUCGCUCACUGCACUUGCUUUCUGUUUGAAAGCUUAGUCUACAGUUGGAGAAUUCAAACAGGAACACAUCCAGAUCUGACAGUUACUUUGUUCAUCACAACUCAAUUACCUCAGGAUUUUGAACACUGAAGGAAAAAGCAGCACUCACAGUGGGGAGAAAUGCACAUGGUCUGUGAAGAUUCAUCUGAAAUGUCCUUACACCAGCUCAGUGACACUGGGGAGAGACCAUUCACCUGCUCUAAAUGUGGGAAAGCAUUCACUCAGUCAUCCAAACUGUUAACACACCAGUGGGUUCGCAAAGCAGCACAGUUGAAGGAUUUUGCUGUCACUGUCACUAUCAAAUGAACCAUGGUUUUGGGCUGUUUGUACUGAUGUUACUGAUCCCGGUUCAAUUCAAGGUACUGGUAUUGUGGAUAAAAUGUUAAUCAGUUGUGUAUCUGUCAGGUAGAGCUUGGAAAUAGUCACGUUGUCAUGACACAUCGACACAUUCACACUGACGAAAGACUAUCCACCUGCACGGUAUGUGAAAAGGGAUUUCCCGGUUCGUCAGGACUGGUUAACUAGCAGCAAAUUUCUGAGUAACUGUUAAGUUGGUUUUUGAUUCUGCUGUUAGCUAUAUACAAACCAUGUUUUUUGGGCUUGUUUCUGGAGACCAUAGGAUCCCUCCGGUGUGGAAGCAGACCAUUUAGCCCAUCAAGUCCACACUGAACUUAUGAAGAGUGUCUUACCCAGACCCUGCCUGCGUGGGUUUCCUCCAGGUUCCUCCCACAGUCCAAAAAUAUGCAAAUUGGGUAGAUUGACUAUGCUAAAUUGCCCGUAGUGUCACGUGUGUAAAAUGCAGGGACUGGGUAGGGUGGGAUGCUCUUUGGAGGGUUCGUGUGGACUCGAUGGACUGAAUGGCCAUCUUCCACACUGUAAGAAUUCUAUGAUGAUCUUGAUGGCCCUUUAUUUGUUAGUUAUGUCUGGUCAAUAUGUCUGUGCACCAUUUACAAUUACGGAUUCUAUUGCUCUCCACAGACAUGUUUCAAUUUUUAAUAGAUAUUUGUUUAUUGGAAACAAUGCAAUCUUUCCUUUUGAUUUCUAUCCACAAAAUGAAAGUUUUAAAUCGAAACAUAAAAUUGGGAUGAGUCCUGCACUACAAUCCCUGAUUGGGGAAAAUGCAAUCAGCUAUGAAACCUGGUGACCAUUGUGACUCUGUCCGGGGGAAAUGCAGUCUCCUCAGAUCCUUACCUGUUGUCCAUAGCAAUGAUGGAUCUCAUGAUGAAUACAUAUACACUAGAUAUCACACAAUGUCUUGGUUUAUUUUCUAUUUAUUCUUCUGUCCAUUACUCCACAGAGACUGAGAUAACGGUCUGGGGACCUAGGUUUGAAACCCACCAUUCCAGAUGGUAGAAUUUGAGUUUAAACAAAAAAAUCUGAAAUAAGAAUCUAAUGAUGACUGUAAAUCUGUUUUCAUUGUUGGAAAAACCUAUGUCUUUUAGGGAAGGAAACUGCCAUUCUUGUCCAGGGAUAUCAAGAUCCCAUGAAUGAAUUUUUAAAAAUUAAUUUUAAAUAAAACUCCUGCAAAUACA